GUGCUCGCUUCGGCACCACAUAUACUAAAAUUGGAACGAUACAGAGAAGAUUAGCAUGGUCCUUGCGCAAGGAUGACAUGCUCAUUCCUGAAGCGUUCCAUAUUAAA